rnacentral:rRNA from 1 species
GUGCCAGCCGCCGCGGUAAUACGGAAGGGGCUAGCGUUGUUCGGAAUCAUUGGGCGUAAAGGGCGCGUAGGUGGUCUUAUAUGUCCGUCGUGAAAGUGCACGGCUCAACCGUGUUUGGUCGGCGGAAACUGUAAGACUUGAGGCUGGGAGGGGCUGGAGGAAUUCCCUGUGUAGCGGUGAAACGCGUAGAGAUAGGGGAAAACACUCGUGGCGAAGGCGUCCAGCUGGACCAGUCCUGACACUGAGGCGCGAAAGCGUGGGUAGCAAACAGGAUUAGAUACCCUGGUAGUCCACGCCGUAAACGAUGGUCACUAGGUGCCGGCGGUAUUGAUCUCGUCGGUGCCGGCGCUAACGCAGUAAGUGCCCCGCCUGGGGAGUACGGUCGCAAGGCUGAAACUCAAAUAAAUUGGCGG